AUGCGAUACGUAAUGUGAAUUGCAGAAUUCAGUGAAUCAUCGAAUCUUUGAACGCAUAUUGCGCUCUUUGGUAUUCCGAAGAGCAUGCUUGUUUGAGUAUCAGUAAACACCUCAACCUCUCUUUUUUUGUUCAAAAAAAAGGAGGGUGGACUUGAGCUAUCCCAACGACCUUCACCGGUAGGCGGGCGGCUUGAAAUGCAGGUGCAGCUGGACUUUUAUCUGAGCUAAAAGCAUAUCUAUUUAGUCCUCGUCAAACAGGAUUAUUACUUUUGCUGCAGCUAACAUAAAGGAUAAUUGUCCUCUUUGCUGACUGAUGCAGGAUUUUACGACACUUAAUGUGUUGUUCAACUCGAUCUCAAAUCAAGUAAGACUACCCGCUGAACUUAA
rnacentral:misc_RNA from 1 species